ACGAGACCAGCGGAGCACCGCUCCCUGGAUCCCAACCGUGUCUACCUGAGAAUGUUGCCUCGGCGGGCCGCACCGCCCGGCCUCUGGCUCACCGGCCAGCUGGGCUCGGGGGGUCGACCCGGGCUGCCCUCUAGCGGGGAGCCCGGCGCCUGUGUCCGCCCGAGGGACCUCCAACCUUUAACCAUGUGUGAACGUCUGAGUAGCUAUUAAAUAGUUUUA
rnacentral:misc_RNA from 1 species